ACCGUGCUGACGCGACAGGCCGAUCGC
rnacentral:piRNA from 1 species